ensembl:lncRNA
AGCCUUGAAACCUUUCUUCAGGAGUCAGCAGAGGGCCAGUUCCAUGCAGUUCAGCUACAGAGCUUUAGCCAGGAGAGCGGGAUAGAUUUAACAGAUUGAAGAGCCAACUCCUUGACGAGGUCAUCCAAAGACUGAGGAGCCGGUAGAAGAGCCUGGAAUCUGACAAAAUUCUUCUAGCGGCUGCAAGGUUGGUGGACCCAAGGGAGUGGCCCACAGAGGAGGCAGAGCUGGCCAGCUUUGGAGCAGACCAUCUACUUGUGAUCACAGAACACUUUGCCGAGAUACUGGGUAGGGCAGGCUGUGACAGGAGUCAGGCAAGACACCAAGAGUUGCCCAGUGCCCAAGUGGUCAUAAAAGCGAUGCCCCAGGCUCAACAAACCAAGGUAUGGGCAGACUUUUUUAAAGAUCGUGACAGGCUACAGAGCUUCCCAAACCUGCUGAUGGUGGUUGAGCUAAUCCUCGUGCUCCCACUCUCCACUGCUGCUUGUGAGUGUGGCUUCAGUGCAAUGAAACGCGUAAAAACUGACUGUGUUGCAGCCUUUCAGUUGAUAUGCUGUGGAAACUGC